CUAUGUUGCCCAGGCUGGAGUUCACUGGCUAUUCACAGGUGCAAUUAUAGGGCACGACAGCCUUGAACUCCUGGCCUCAAGUGAUCCUCUUGCCUCAGUCUCUGGAGUCUCCAAAACAGGGGAAGGAUGGAAGAAAUAAAAUACAUAAUGGAAUGGUGGGAAGACUCCGGAUCAGGAAACAUGAAUUUAAGUCUCCAUUUAUCUAAGUUAUUUGCUCAGAAAUCCCUCAAUGUGCAAGCUGGACUAAAGUGGGAAGAAAAAUCAUGGAGUAUCCAUUUAGGAGUAUAUUCCAACAAUCAAGAUGAGAAGCAGCGAGAGCCUGGAU
rnacentral:lncRNA from 10 species